CGGGGGAGCAAGCGUUGUUCGGAUUUACUGGGCGUAAAGGGCGUGUAGGCGGCCACCGCAAGUCGGUUGUGAAAUCUCCGGGCUUAACCCGGAAAGGUCAACCGAUACUGCUGGGCUGGAGUGCAGAAGGGGCAACUGGAAUUCUCGGUGUAGCGGUGAAAUGCGUAGAUAUCGAGAGGAACACCUGCGGCGAAGGCGGGUUGCUGGGCUGACACUGACGCUGAAACGCGAAAGCUAGGGGAGCGAACGGGAUUAGAUACCCCGGUAGUCCUAGCCUUAAACGAUGAAUGCUUGGUGUCUGGGGUUUUAUAGUCCCCGGGUGCCGUCGCUAACGCUUUAAGCAUUCCGCCUGGGGAGUACGGUCGCAAGACUG
rnacentral:rRNA from 1 species